GUGCACCAGUCGAGAAACUUCACACUGUGCGAAGCACGAUGAGGGAAUCCCAAGUGCUUGCACGUAAGUGUAAGCUGUUCUCUGUUUAAACGCAGAGAGAGUAAGGGCUGGGUAAGACGGGUGCCAGCCGCCGCGGUAAUACCCGCAGCCCGAGUGGUGGCCGCUAUUAUUGGGCCUAAAGCGUCCGUAGCCGGCUCGGUAAAUGCCUGGGUAAAUCGUCUGGCCCAACCAGACGAAUUCCGGGUAGACUGCCGGGGCUAGGGGACCGGAGGAGGGAGGGGGUACGUCCAGGGGUAGGGGUGGAAAUCAGCAAGGUGAGUUGCUGAUGUAACUUGCCUUGCAAGUCACAAUCCUGUAAUCCCUGGAGGACCACCGGUGGCGAAGGCGCUCUCCUAGGACGGGUCCGACGGUGAGGGACGAAAGCCAGGGGAGCAAACCGGAUUAGAUACCCGCGUAGU
rnacentral:rRNA from 1 species